rnacentral:rRNA from 1 species
UACAGAGGCCUCGAGCGUUAGGCGGAAUCACUGGGCUUAAAGCGUGUGUAGGCGGAUUGGUAAGUACCUUGUGAAAUCCCACAGCUUAACUGUGGAACUGCUCGGUAUACUGCUGAUCUUGAGCCACUCAGGGGCUACCGGAACAAAUGGGUGGAGCGGUGAAAUGCGUAGAUAUCAUUGGAACGCCAAUGGUGAAAACAGGUAGCUGGGGGUGUGCUGACGCUGA